GACGAACGCUGGCGGCGUGCUUAACACAUGCAAGUCGUACGGUAAGGCCCUUUCGGGGGUACACGAGUGGCGAACGGGUGCGUAACACGUGAGUAACCUGCCCACAACUUUGGGAUAACGCUAGGAAACUGGUGCUAAUACUGGAUAUGUGCUCCUGCUGCAUGGUGGGGGUUGGAAAGCUCCUGCGGUUGUGGAUGGACUCGCGGCCUAUCAGCUUGUUGGUGGGGUAGUGGCCUACCAAGGCGGCGACGGGUAGCCGGCCUGAGAGGGUGACCGGCCACAUUGGGACUGAGAUACGGCCCAGACUCCUACGGGAGGCAGAAGUGGGGAAUAUUGAACAAUGGGCGCAAGCCUGAUGCAGAAACGCCGCGUGCGGGAUGACGGCCUUCGGGUUGUAAAACGCUUUCAGCAGGGACGAAGCUUUUUGUGACGGUACCUGCAGAAGAAGCACCGGCUAACUACGUG
rnacentral:rRNA from 1 species